GGUUGAUCCUGCCAGUAGUCAUAUGCUUGUCUCAAAGAUUAAGCCAUGCAUGUCUCAGUACAAGCCAAAUUAAGGUGAAACCGCGAAAGGCUCAUUAAAUCAGUUAUGGUUCCUUAGAUCGUACCCACAAUUACUUGGAUAACUGUGGUAAUUCUAGAGCUAAUACAUGCAAACAGAGCUCCGACCGGAGACGGAAGGAGUGCUUUUAUUAGAUCAAGACCAAUCGGUGGCGGGUUCGCUCGUCAUCGUACAACUUGGUGACUCUGAAUAACUUUACGCUGAUCGCACGGUCACCGCACCGGCGACGCAUCUUUCAAAUGUCUGCCUUAUCAACUGUCGAUGGUAGGUUCUGCGCCUACCAUGGUUGUAACGGGUAACGGGGAAUCAGGGUUCGAUUCCGGAGAGGGAGCCUGAGAAACGGCUACCACAUCCAAGGAAGGCAGCAGGCGCGCAAAUUACCCACUCCCGGCACGGGGAGGUAGUGACGAAAAAUAACGAUACGGGACUCAUCCGAGGCCCCGUAAUCGGAAUGAGUACACUCUAAACCCUUUAACGAGGAUCAAUUGGAGGGCAAGUCUGGUGCCAGCAGCCGCGGUAAUUCCAGCUCCAAUAGCGUAUAUUAAAGUU
rnacentral:rRNA from 1 species